GGGCAGAAUAAAAAAUUACUAAAAAAAAAUCUUCUCAAAAUUACGGAAAUCGAGCGGCGGCGGCGGCUCCCCCCGCCCGCCGGCCCGCCCGCCCCCUCCCCGGCUCCCCGGCCCCGGGCGCAGCGCGCAUGUGUCCUGCUAUAAUUAUGAUUAUCAAUAAUGCAUUGCGAUUAAUCAUAGAGGGGCUCUUUGAAAGGCGAUUGGCACCGGGCCAGCGCUAUUCAAACCCGCUCGCCUUAAUCAAUUAGUUUGUGAUUUGCUGCAGACCCCUGUCUCUCCGCGCGCUGGCCCAAUAAGCCGGCCGCGGGGCUGGCUCUGCGAGCCGCGCCGCCCGACACUGGGUUAACCCUCUUCGCGACCGCCCGGGACUCCGCGGCCGGGCCGCCGGGGGCCUGCCUUCUCGCCUCUGAGCACCCGGCGCCCCGGCCUGAGCCCCCCUCCCUCCCUCGGCCCCCCCAUCCCGGGCUGGGCCGACCCAAAUUAGCAUGCCCUCCCCGGAAUUAAGCCUCCCCGGGUGGGGGGUGGGGCCGGGCGGCGGGGGCUGGGGACCCGGGCUGCGGGCGCGCGGCGAACUUCCCAACUCCGGCGCUAGGAGCGCCGGCCCGCGGGGGGAGGGAGUCCCGUGGCGGGAUUUGGGGGGAGGAAGUCCCGUUUCGUGAGUGUUUCUUCGUUUCUUUAAGAGCUACCAGAAAGCAGCCCACCCCCACCCCCAUAAAAAAAAAAAUAAGCGAGUGGGGAAGAGCCAGCCCCACGCCGGUCCGCCUCCCGCCCGCGGCCCGGCCUCCCUCCCGCUCGCUGCUUGGCUCGGCGCUCCUUCGCCCCGAGUUCUCCAUCCCCUGGAUCCCGGGCUCGCGGGGGCGCGGAGAAGAGGACCAAGGAAAGGGCCAUCCGCAUGCAGGCAUUUAG
rnacentral:lncRNA from 1 species